rnacentral:rRNA from 1 species
UACGGGGGGGCAAGCGUUGUUCGGAAUUACUGGGCGUAAAGGGCUCGUAGGCGGCCAACUAAGUCGGACGUGAAAUCCCCAGGCUCAACCUGGGAACUGCGUCUGAUACUGCAUGGCUUGAGACCAGAAGAGGUAAGUGGAACUGCGAGUGUAGAGGUGAAAUUCGUAGAUAUUCGGAAGAACACCAGUGGCGAAGGCGGCUCACUGGACUGGUAUUGACGCUGAGGUGCGAAAGCGUGGGGAGCAAACAGG